CAGAGACACACUAAAACACAUGUAAGCCUCUACUGCACGCCAGUGGUCAGAAGAGUGAUAUGCAAACUUAUGGAGAGCUGACGCUGUUGCUUUGACUCGCUCCAAUGACCGACUCAGCCAGGCAUCCUCCUACCUACCCACAAUCCCAUGCUCCCAGCACCUUUCUGCAGAGCUGCCACAAAGAAGAUUAUGUGACAGUUGGCAGCACGCAGGCAAUCUCUCCUACAGUGACAACUCUUUCAUUAUUUCCCCCGUUAGCCGCUCAGUUUUAUACUUGCUGGGAGAAACUUUCUUCCACAGAGCAGAGGAGGGUCUGGCUUCUAUCCAGCUGCUGACAAGAACGUCCUACGGCUGCAGGUGCUGGGCUGAGGUCAAAGGUCAAAAUCAAUCUCCUGCUCGUGAAUACACUCAUGCAAAGGAGCAGGGAUGCGAAGUGUCGACUUCAGCAGGGAUGCCGGCUUAACAGAUAAGUUCAAAUCGAUAUUGGGAUGAUUGGAUUCAGGAACAACUUGGAGCAUGUUCAG